GACGAACGCUGGCGGCGUGCCUAAUACAUGCAAGUAGAACGCUGAAGGAGGAGCUUGCUUCUCUGGAUGAGUUGCGAACGGGUGAGUAACGCGUAGGUAACCUGCCUGGUAGCGGGGGAUAACUAUUGGAAACGAUAGCUAAUACCGCAUAAUAGCAGUUGUUGCAUGAUAACUGUUUGAAAGGUGCAAUUGCACCACUACCAGAUGGACCUGCGUUGUAUUAGCUAGUUGGUGGGGUAACGGCUCACCAAGGCGACGAUACAUAGCCGACCUGAGAGGGUGAUCGGCCACACUGGGACUGAGACACGGCCCAGACUCCUACGGGAGGCAGCAGUAGGGAAUCUUCGGCAAUGGACGGAAGUCUGACCGAGCAACGCCGCGUGAGUGAAGAAGGUUUUCGGAUCGUAAAGCUCUGUUGUAAGAGAAGAACGAGUGUGAGAGUGGAAAGUUCACACUGUGACGGUAUCUUACCAGAAAGGGACGGCUAACUACGU
rnacentral:rRNA from 1 species